rnacentral:rRNA from 1 species
CUCUGUGACUCCUACGGGAGGCAGCAGUGGGGAAUAUUGCACAAUGGGGGAAACCCUGAUGCAGCCAUGCCGCGUGUGUGAAGAAGGCCUUCGGGUUGUAAAGCACUUUCAGUAGGGAGGAAGGUAGUGUAGUUAACACCUGCAUUAUUUGACGUUACCUACAGAAGAAGCACCGGCUAACUCCGUGCCAGCAGCCGCGGUAAUACGGAGGGUGCGAGCGUUAAUCGGAAUUACUGGGCGUAAAGCGCAUGCAGGCGGCCUGUUAAGUCAGAUGUGAAAGCCCGGGGCUUAACCUCGGAAUUGCAUUUGAAACUGGCAGGCUAGAGUCUUGUAGAGGGGGUAGAAUUUCAGGUGUAGCGGUGAAAUGCGUAGAGAUCUGAAGGAAUACCGGUGGCGAAGGCGGCCCCCUGGACAAAGACUGACGCUCAGAUGCGAAAGCGUGGGGAGCAAACAGGAUUAGAUACCCUGGUAG